CAGGCUGGACAUUGGGGCUUGGAGCAGCCUGGGACAGUGGGAGGUGUCCCUGCCGUGGCAGGGGGUGGUAUGGGAUCUUUUAAGUCCUUCCAAUCCAACCCAUUCCAUGCUUCUGAUGUCCCUGCCUUGGGUAGCCUCAGGGCUGACAGUUCUCAGCUGUGGCAACAAUUCCAAACAAUUCCUUUGGGGUUUAGUGCCACCCCUCUCCUCAUGGAAUCCCACGGAGCUGUUGCUGCUUCCCCAGGUGGUUACAGGAACAAAGGGGGGAGUUGCAGUUUUGGGGUGUCUUUUGCAGGCCCCCACAGGGCUCAGGAGUGCUCAGUCCAUGCCCUGCAGAGCCCAGGAAUCCAGGAUGGGAGAUUUGGAGAGGCAAAUGCUGGUAGAGGGUUCCAGCUUGCUACACUUGGUCCAAGAAUUCAUUGGGAAAAGCUCUGGAGUCUGCAAACCCAAAUGGUUGGAGACUGGUGGGGCAGAUACUGUGAGAACUUUGAGGCAUUUGGUUAUAGGAGUAAAAAUGCUAUGAAAUCCUAUAAAAUGGUGAGUUUGGGGGGUGAAUGUUGGGGGCUCCACUCGGCCUCCUUUAGGUUCCUUUGUGUGUUUGCUCGUUGUUACUGACAGGAAAAGAAUUCCCAACAAUUGUAUAGGAAGCAUUAUUCCCUAAUUCUCCUUCCACAGAGUUUUACUGUCUGGAACUUCACAUUUUGCUACUGUGAUGUUUUUCUCUCCCUGUUUUUCCUGUAUCCUUUCCUGCCGUGAUGAAGUGUUGUUAUUAUGGGAUUUUGCCACUGUUCUGGCCCAUCCAGCUGGCUGGAAUUGAUUUAUUCCAUGUGGGCCACAUCCUUAAAGGGAGUUUCCAGAGCCUGAUCUCCUCAGAAUUGUUCCAAGGCUGCCACUUCCAGAUGAUAUCCAAGCUGAAAUCCAAACCACUCUCUUGGCUUUCCACACUUGUCCUUGGAAUUCCAGAGUUUCAUCUUUCCAGCAGAGACCUCUCCUUUUUUGGACAGGUGCAUAUUCCCAGCCACUGGCUCCAGCAGAGACCAGUUAGGGACUGGAGUUGGUUUUGGAUCCUGUUCCUUUGGCUUCCCUGCUGUGUCGGCUCAGUCGGAGCCAGGAUCUGCAAUUCCAGCUCCUGGCAGCCACGUUCCCAUUGCUGCUGCUCAGCUGGGAAGUGGCAGGUGUUUAAAGGUAGAAACAACAUUUGAGCUUCCAGGUUUGUUCCCUCUCCCCAGUGGGGAUGUUUUCCAGAACAGGACAGGUGGCACCAUCCAAAGUUGGAUCCAAUUUCCGCUGUGCCACCACCAAGAGGAGAUUCCAGCCUGACUUCCAGCAGCUCUGACAAUUCCUGCUUUGCACACCCAAUUUUCCAUGGAAACAGCAUCAGGGAGCAGAGUUGGUGGUGCCUCAUUCCAUGGCCAGAUCCUGGUUUUGGAGGUGCCUCAUUCCGUGGUGAGAUCCAGGUUUUGGAGGUGUCUCAUUCCAUGGUGAGAUCCAGGUUUUGGAGGUGCCUCAUUCCUUGGUGAGAUCCAGGUUUGAGGUGCCUCAUUCCGUGGUGAGAUCCAGGUUUUGGAGGUGCCUCAUUCCAUGGUGAGAUCCAGGUUUGAGGCAUCCAUCGCCUGCUCCCGGUUCUGGGCAGGGAUUUCACCUCCUGCACCAGUGGCUGCUGCAAGGAAGUGCCAGGCUGGAGUUUGAAUUCCACAGGGAAGGUCAAAGUGACCUUCCAAAACCAAAUUCCCUGCUGGUAGAUGACAGAACUCUGAUAUUCCCUUGGGAAUGAGCCCAUUCCUGCUCACACCUUCACCAGCUCCUGCAGGUGGGUGAGGUGAGUCCUUCCCUCUGCACUGGGGGCUCCACGUCCCAAAAGGAGAGGGAAGAUCAAACCCUGACCACUCAGGAUCUGGUGGCUUUGUCCCCUUCCCAACCACUCUGUCCCAGCCCCUUGGAGCUUUCCCUUCCGGCUUUUCCCUCCUCACCCAGGCAGACGCAGCUGUACCUACAACAUUUCAACCAUGCUGAUAAAAGCUCCAACUCCUAAAGAAAUCCUGAUCCUACGGAGUCCAGGCAGGGAAUGUUCAGUAUUUCCAGCUGAAACAGUGGCUGGGAUGAGGCAGAAGCCGUGAGUGUGAUGCCAGCCAGGGGGAGUGUGAUAAACUCAGCCUUGGCUGAGAAUUCCUAAUGCUGAACCCCAACUUCCAUCAGUUUUCACAAAGUCUCUCCCUGCUUUAGCAGGAAACCACCAACUCUUGUACUGAGUCUGUUCUGAGGAGUUUAGGGCUCUUAAUUUAAUUAUUGUCUGAAUUUAUUUUCUAAAUUUGCCUCCUUUUUCUGUUUCCAUCUUGAGGCCAUCUUUGAUUUGGGCAAGUUUUUCUCUCUCGGUUCCAGCAGAGCUAAAAUUACCCACUUUUGGAAAGGUUUUUUGAUACCAAAAAUACAACUUUGGUGUGGGACUUCAGCUCAUGCUCAGGAAUUCAUCAGCCAGCAGGAGGGAAAAGAGACUAUUUAAAUUGGGGGUGGUAUUGGUUAGAAAAGGAAUCCUAAUCUUUGUCACUUUGCAUAAGACUGGGAGAGAACCAAAUUCCCUGUAGAGAGUUGGUUUUGGAAAAAAAAACCCACAAAACUUUUAAUUUAGAUAAAAAUAGAAUAUUAAAUUUCAAACUUAAUUUUAGCUGUAAUGUAAUACAGCAGUAAAAAAAUCCUACUGUUGCUGUGUAUUUCAUUAUGUUCUGUAUUUCAUGAUGGUUUUAGUUGGCAUUUUAAAAUAAAGGGUUUGUGAUGAUUUUUA